GUUCAGAUGGUGCAGAUGGAUAGCAUAUCGGACUAACAGAAUCGGUUCCCGGGUUUUUCUGAAGACGGUCGUUCGACUCGACCUCUGGACG